CAGAGCUGUUCACUUUGACAGCACAAAAUACUAAAAUUACAGAGAAGAUUAGCAUGGCCCCUGCACAAGGAUGACACACAAAUUCAUGAAGUGUUUCUAUUUUUG
ensembl:snRNA U6 U6 spliceosomal RNA